AGGACUCUGGUCGGAGGUAAUUAUGUCACUGCGCUUUCUCGCCGUGACAGCCGAAUAAACACAAUCUCCAAUAAACAUCUCUAAUGAGGGAGGAGGCCCGAGGAUGGCUGGCUUUGAUUUAUGGCUAGAGGAGAAGGUCCACUUCCCACAGCGAAGUGGGCAACCUGCUCGCUCCUCAGUCCAGAGAAAGCAACUCGAGGAGGAGAGGACCCGGAUUCAGGACUUCAUCACAUGUUCACAGCAAGCUACAAGUAGAAUGGGGAAUGUAUCAAUCCAAAAGCAAUGAAAGGAAGAGAUAAUAGACUGUGGUGAACAACCAGCAGUAUCCACAACAAUGCAUAAUGCAGACAAGAGACUGUUAUAAUAAUCCAGCUCAGACAUCUAUGGAAACCAGACCCGCCUU